UGGCUUGAUAAAGAGGCUGCAUAUGGUUAGUGGUGUCCAUCUCAUAGGAUCCAGGGACAUAGUAAUUCCUUGUUCGUUCUCAUGUGACUAUUGUUCUAUGCCUUUGUCUGGUUCAUGCCCCUGAAUACAGAA